UGCACAAAAGGACCGUAUUAGCUAAUCUGC
rnacentral:piRNA from 1 species